UACGUAGGGUGCAAGCGUUGUCCGGAAUUAUUGGGCGUAAAGAGCUCGUAGGCGGUUUGUCGCGUCUGGUGUGAAAAUCCAGGGCUUAACCCUGGACCUGCAUCGGGUACGGGCAGACUAGAGUGCGGUAGGGGAGAUCGGAAUUCCUGGUGUAGCGGUGAAAUGCGCAGAUAUCAGGAGGAACACCAGUGGCGUAGGCGACUAGCUGGGCCAUAACUGACGCUGAGGAACGAAAGCCAGGGGAGCGAAUGGG
rnacentral:rRNA from 1 species